rnacentral:rRNA from 1 species
UACAGAGGUCCCAAGCGUUGUUCGGAUUUACUGGGCGUAAAGGGUGCGUAGGUGGCGGGGUAAGUCUGGUGUGAAAGCUCCGAGCUCAACUCGGAAAAGCAUUGGAAACUAUCCCGCUUGAGGGUCGGAGGGGAGACUGGAAUUCUCGGUGUAGCAGUGAAAUGCGUAGAUAUCGAGAGGAACACCAGUGGCGAAGGCGGCUUACUGGUCCGGUUCUGACGCUGAGGCGCGAAAGCGUGGGGAGCAAACAGG